rnacentral:rRNA from 1 species
UACGGGGGGGGCAAGCGUUGUUCGGAAUUACUGGGCGUAAAGGGCUCGUAGGCGGCCAACUAAGUCAUACGUGAAAUCCCUCGGCUUAACCGGGGAACUGCGUCUGAUACUGGAUGGCUUGAGUUCGGGAGAGGGAUGCGGAAUUCCAGGUGUAGCGGUGAAAUGCGUAGAUAUCAGGAGGAACACCGGUGGCGAAGGCGCACAUCUGGCCCGAUACUGACGCUGAGGCGCGAAAGCUAGGGGAGCGAACAGG